GGCUACUACAUCCAAGGAAGGCAGCAGGCGCGCAAAUUACCCAAUCCCGACACGGGGAGGUAGUGACAAUAAAUACUGAUACAGGGCUCUUUUGGGUCUUGUAAUUGGAAUGAGUACAAUUUAAUUCCCUUAACGAGGAACAAUUGGAGGGCAAGUCUGGUGCCAGCAGCCGCGGUAAUUCCAGCUCCAAUAGCGUAUAUUAAAGUUGUUGCAGUUAAAAAGCUCGUAGUUGAACCUUGGGCCUGGCUGGCCGGUCCGCCUCACCGCGUGCACUGGUCCGGCCGGGCCUUUCCCUCUGGGGAGCCGCAUGCCCUUUACUGGGCGUGUCGGGGAACCAGGACUUUUACUUUGAAAAAAUUAGAGUGUUCAAAGCAGGCUUAUGCUCGAAUACAUUAGCAUGGAAUAAUAGAAUAGGACGUGUGGUUCUAUUUUGUUGGUUUCUAGGACCGCCGUAAUGAUUAAUAGGGACAGUCGGGGGCAUCAGU
rnacentral:rRNA from 1 species